UCUUGUUGAGCGGGAUUUCAAAUUUUGAAUACUCCUGAUUUUCAGAUCCUAAACAAUAUAUCUCUUCUCCACCAAGCCACCCCCUCUCACCUCUGCUCCAUGAAUUCCUCCGCUGGUGAUUAUACGGGUGCUUCUUCCCUUUUUUCCGUCAUUGAUCACCAUCUUCACCGUCAAAAUCAGGUGUUGUUUAAUCUAUCGGUACAACGACGAGAAAACAACGAUAACUGUAACUUUAUGAGAACAGAUCUUCGGUGACGGUAACGGUGGCGUAUUCCGGCGAUAUUCUAGGGUUCCGGUGACAUCAUGUAUAUUCUGAUGAGUUUUUGGGCAAUCCUCAUUUUGAAGCAUGUUUCCCUUUUUCUUAUAGAUCGAACCUGGUAGUGACGUUUGAACUGUUUUGGUUGUUCUAGCUUCUCCGAGCUUCUGGUAACCCAAGACGACUUCCGACGAAGACGAUUCAAGAAGGUCAAUUCUCUACUGAUGAUGGAACUGAAUUAAUACGGUUAGCUUCAAGAUGUUUACAAUAUCAGCCACGUGAGUGCCCAAAUCCAAGAUCAUUGGUCUCCGCUUUAAUUCCUCUCCAAAAAAACCAAGGUGCCAUCUCAUGUAUUAAUGGGUAUCCCACAAGCGUCCGCCAUGCCUCUAACGGCUCCCGGAGAAAGAAAUGUUUUGGAACAGUUGGGGUACAAAGAUGACGAGGCUACUGCAACCGAGGUUUGUUUAUGUUUUUUUUAGUAAUUUAAUUUUUUGUAUAAGGUCUUUUUAAUAUCUUUUUUCCUUUUAUGUUUUAGUUGAGUUGUUGCUAACACAAUCUCAUGUUCUUGCUUGGUUUUAAAAAUUGAGAGGCGUGACGAGGUUUAAAACCGAGGUGCGUAGCGUAAAAGUGGUGGGCUUUUUGUAUGAUUUUAGCUGCAUGUACAAGCCAAAAAAACAAAAGGUACAACAGUUAGACGCAUAAAAACGCCUUGGGUCGGGCUAGAAAAGCCCAGAAAAAUCCCAAAGCGUGCGCCUUUUUGGCGCUUCUUGUAAUUACUCUAAGCGUUGAGCGAAAAAGCCCCAAGGUGUGCAUCUCGCGCUUAAGCGCACUUUUAAAACCAAGUGUUCUUGUUGUUGAAGAAACAAACGUGAAAGAGAAAAUAUGUUUUUUGGGAUAAGAUAUCAUUCACAAGUAAUAUAUAAGAGAUCAAUAUAGGCGAUAGAAAAUAAGUAGACUGUAUUUUAAAUUGGGCAAUACAUUAGAAAGACUUUGAAAAUGAUAGUUUUGUCACAUUUGAAUACUUUGAAAAUAGGUUUUAACCUUUUUGCCACAAAUCAUGUAAUGGGGUGUGUGAUUUUGGUGGUUAAAAGCUCAUUGUGUCGAAGACAUUGUUUUUAAAAUUUGCAUAUGAACACACCGGAAGUUCAAGAACUUUGCUUCCAAUAUUGGCAACCAAGACCUUCCUUAGGUGAUUUUCAUUCUUUUAUAUUAGUUAUACAUUAAAAUUUUAUUGGCUUGUUGCUAGAGGUGUUAGUCUGGUCGGGUUAGUUGGGUUUCGAAAAUGUAACCGAACACCGACCCAAAUAAGCUUGCUUUAUUCGGUGUUCGGGUUUAAAGAAUUGGGUCAGUUGGGUAUUUGGGUUAUUUAAUGGGCUGCUAAAAAAUCUUGGGAAUUUAGCAUAGUAAUGUUGUGUAUUGAUAUCUAACUUUCUCUUAACUAUAUACUUACCUUGAUUUUAUGUUUGUUUGCUUUCACAAUUUUCUCAUGCAUAAACAAGUUGAUUCAUUUUUCCUUUUGAUAGCUUGUAUGGAGUGAUGUUUAUCCCUGCUAAAAAAGGUUUGACAUGUGGGGUAUAUAUCAAGAAUUUAGCCUAUUUACUUAUGAACUGGUCGAUUUUGUCCAAGUGUACAUUGUUUUCCAUAUG